AUUUUGGGAAGAUGAAAAAUAUUGGGAAAUUGGGUAGUAGUGCAAAAAUGAAGUCUUUAUCUUCCAUAGUAGAAAGAUAAUAGAUGUUUAAAAUGGUAAAAUGAGUGAUAACAUAGUCAUGUUGUUUAGAAAUACGAAGGUAUACAAUAGGAGAAUCAAUGAAAAGUUUUGAAAAUGAAAUCUAGGGAUGAGGAUUCAGUGGUAGGAGUGACAGGAAAUAGGACUAUGUGCAUAUCUUUGUUUGAUAAAAUGAAUUUAAUGUGGAUGGUUAGAACAAUAUUACAUUGCUUUAUUUUAGAUAAGAUUAAUGCAUACUUAUUGUAAAAAAUUUGAAAAAUAAAGGUGCCAAAAGAAAGUAUUUCAUCGUUAAUGUGGUUAAUGCACAUACAUGCUGCACUUGCUGUUUUAUAAUCUUUAUUACUUAAAAGCAUAUGGUGAUUUUAUCAUGACAUUGCUUUUUAUAUAUUUUUUUAAAAAAUAAAAAUGCAAAGAAAUCUAAAGAAGAAAAAUACCAACUCCCCUUGGAAAAGACAGGAAGUGACAUUGAACUGGUUCUUAACAUAUAAUAAUAAAAUGAUUGAGCUCUUUCUGAGUCAGUCAAUUCACUAACUGCUUUACAUACAUCAUAUCAUUUAGUUCUCAUAAUAAAUCUGAAAUUUCAAUGAUAAAUCUCACUUGUACAGAGUAGGAAACUACGGCUUAGCAAGAUUUUUGUCAAGGUCAUUUGGCUAAUAAAUGACAGUGCUAGAACUUUAAAUACCACAACCACCUGGUAAAAAGUGCUGUGGGUGUUGGUCUGGAAUACACCCAGAUAACCAGCCUCCCUGACUCCAAGGCCUGGGUCGUUAACCUCUUCACCAUGUUCAGUAGCUGGGCCUCUGGUUGUCAGACAGGGACAUCCAUACCGGUGAGGAUCAUCAAUGUGAAAGGCGUCAUCAGUCUUAACCAGUUGGUGGAAGCAACACAAGUUGGAAAGAUUCUGAGUCUCUGGGUAACUAUGUGGAGCACAAUCCCAGCUAACUCACAUUGGAUUAUGACAUGAGAAAAAGGUAAAUAUUUAUUAAUGUAAGCCACAAAAAUUUGUUGUUUAUUGCAGCAACUAACCCUACUUAUCUUAAUACAAUGUUUUAUAUAGAUUUUAGUAUGUGAACGUAACAAACACCAAAAGUUUUAGAUAAAUGUAUUAUUAAAAAUUUUUUUCUCAUCAUUUCCCAUCAAACCUGUGAAUAGCAGAAAUAAUUCAAAUUUAUCAUCAAAAUGCCUUGGUCCUACUAGAGCAUAGCUUGAGAACUUCUUCCUUCUUCCUUCUUCUUCCCUCCCCCUCCCCUCCCUCCCUUCUUCCUCCCUUCCUCCCUUCCUCUCUUCCUCCCCUCCUCCCCUACUCCCCUCCUCUCCUUCUCCUCUUUCUCCUCCUCCUCCUCCUCCUCCUUCUUCCCCUUCUUAUUCUUCUUCUUCAAGUUCUGGGAUACAUGUGCAGAAUAUGAACCAGUGCUUGUAAAUGAAAUAAAGUAUGUAAUGAAACCUAGAUCAUCAAGGCUUCUCUGUACUUGAUUGAGGCAGGUGACUUCUUUAAAAUUUUCUUAAUUCCUCUCCAAUGCCUGGAAUCAACAUUGGCCUACAGUGUCAUCCAGGUGGAGUUCUCUGAUCCCAGACCAGAACUUUUGGACUCAGGUUGCUAUUUCUUUUCUUUGGCGUCCUCUUUGAUCCUCUACUCUGUUGUAGAGUUGACCAAAUGCUCCAAGGAACUCUGGACUCAUGCCUAUGUGUUGUUGCAAGAACUCAGUGGUUCCAGGAGGGUAGCCUGUCAAGCAAAUUGUUGCUGAAGACCGGAAAGGUAUUUAAUUAAUGGGAUCACAUUACAUUAGAAAGCCAUUAUGGUUCUAGCAUGCUUAUUUGGGAUAACUCAAAUUAUUUACAGACAGGGACUCCACACAAAAAAAUUUAUUCAACACCCUAAAAACCUUAAGGAAAUCUUAAAUGCCAUUGCAUUAAGGUUAAGAAAUGAAAUAUAAAAUAUUUAAUUUUGGGAAUAUGCAUAGAAUUUACAAGGGACAUAUAGUAUUUAUAAAGAAAACAGGAAAUGAUGGAUUGGUAGAAAUGGGAUAGGAAGAAGGGAUGUAGUUAUAUGUAGGUCAUUGUCAAGGUCCUAACUUUAGUUUCCAGUGAUGGAUUUGGAGGUGUUUAUUAAAUUGUCAAACAAACAAAAUAAAUGACAAUUCAUUCAUAAGCCAAUGGUGACAGUAUAUCAUAAACAAGAAAUAUGAUUAAUAAAAUUGUGUCCACCUGAGUCCACAAAAUAAAAAUAAUUCAGCAAAACAGAAUAAAGCCAAGGAACAGACUUAAAAUAAAUGAAAAUGUAAAGAAGAACAUAACAAAGAAUAAAAAUAGCCUUUUGAAUUGCUGGAAAAGAAUAGACUCUUUAAUAAAUAGUUUUAGCACAAUUAACUAUUCAUCGUAAUACCUCACAAUAUACACUUGAAUAAAUUCUAAAUGUUUUAAAAGAAAAUAGUAAAAUAAAAUUUUAAAAAUAGGAAAAAAAUAAAA
rnacentral:lncRNA from 1 species